UGACACGACUCUCGGCAAUGGAUAUCUCGGCUCUCGCAUCGAUGAAGAGCGCAGCGAAAUGCGAUACGUGGUGCGAAUUGCAGAAUCCCGCGAACCAUCGAGUCUUUGAACGCAAGUUGCGCCCGAGGCCACCCGGCCGAGGGCACGUCCGCCUGGGCGUCAAGC
rnacentral:rRNA from 2 species